rnacentral:rRNA from 1 species
CGUUUGAGAUUUGAGAGGGGCUGCUCCUAGUACGAGAGGACCGGAGUGGACGAACCUCUGGUGUUCCGGUUGUCACGCCAGUGGCAUUGCCGGGUAGCUAUGUUCGGAAGAGAUAACCGCUGAAAGCAUCUAAGCGGGAAACUUGCCUCAAGAUGAGAUCUCACUGGGAUCUUGAAUCCCCUAAAGGGCCGUCGAAGACUACGACGUUGAUAGGUUGGGUGUGUAAGCGCUGUGAGGCGUUGAGCUAACCAAUACUAAUUGCCCGUGAGGCUUGACCAU